GCCUUCUCCUCAUUAAUAUACACUUGUUUAUUACCACCAAAAAAUGCCUCUUGUGGAUUACAUGAUAAUGCAUCCAUAAAUCCACAUGAACCUUCAACCUCCCUUUUAUCCAUAAUCAUACUUACAGACAUUUUUAUUGUUGUUUUCCCUUAUGCUUGCAAUCAAAAUUAAAAUUCAAAACCAAGAAAUGGUUUUUCAAAGAAAAGGCUAGAAAGAAAAACAAAUCUUCACCAUAGGAGAAUUCUUG
rnacentral:misc_RNA from 1 species